GCCUCGACGCGGCUGCCAGCGGACGAGGAGCCGGGUGUUUUUUUUUUUAAUCAUUUCACUGAGGCAGCUAUCAGAGAAAAAAGGUCGACCUCCGGAUGAACCUCUCAGCCCGAGAGCCUGGGAGACGCUCACUGCAGCCACCUCUAAAAAUAGAGCCGGGUCAACCACCGAUUGCCGAUCAACCGCACCUUGAUUGGACUCGUUCAUGUAAGCAGGUGAACGGAGGCGGGGCCAGAGCUUCCGUGUGCGCCGACGUGCGGCGAAACAGAAGUGCGUUUGUUCUCAGAACGCACGGCCCCUCCGACGACAAAGGGCCUCUCUCUCGUCCCGAUGCUUUGUGCAGGCGAGGGAACCGGACCUCUCUGCUUCCAUUAAAACCCGCCACGCAGGCGUUUGGGAGGCACGCGUGACGCGCACAGCGGCGCGCUUUCAUCUCCCGAGAAAGCCGGCCUGAAGGAUCCAUCAGCACCGGGCCACGCGGGACACCUCCAGCAGCAGCAAUCCAACCCGCUGCAUCAGAAAGCUCCCGUAUUCAUCAGCAGGCAAACGUGUGCUUUGUUUAUUUUGUUCACACACACACACAAAGUGAAAAGGACAAAGAACAGCGUGUGUGUUUGACUCGCUGCUGGAGCCUCCCCUCCCCCGAGUGCACGAGGCCAGCCGAGGGACCACAGUGUCUCCUGAUAUCUUUCCGUGGCAGAGUUUUAAAGAGGAAUCUGACGCCCCGAUUGAAGUGCGAGGCUCGGCCUUGAAAAGCCCCCGCAGCCAUGUGACGGGAUUUCACGGGCAAGGACCUCGGUUGCGUCAGCCAUCUUUCACGGCUGCUGCGGUCCAAUUUUCGACAGCCUUCCUGUCAGAAUUACAGAGAAAAGAUGAAAAAAACACAACCC